AUAAAAUACGUACUUUUCUUUUCAGAUUAAAGGGCGCAGCUGUUAUAAAUAAGGGGUGAGAAUGCCACUGCAGUGUUAAAAAUUGUAGGGGCGCACCUAAGCGCACGGACAUCCUUCUGCCCGCCCAGCGGUACCGCCAGGGCGGCCCCUCAGCCCCGCAGCGGGCGCGGGCAGCGGCACGGCUCUCUCUGCUCUCUUACCUUGCAGCAUUUUCUGAUGCCAUCAGAGACCACAGGUGGGGCGUUGAAAUGAAGCAAGAAAGAGUUUUCUCCUGAUGAGAUGUCCAGACAGACAUGACUAAAGAGAUGAGCAGCUACCCAUAUCCUAGGUAUGGUUUGUUUUCAGAGACACAGCAAAACAAAAAUAUACAAAGUCCAGAAGUCAAGAGCCAGAAGCAAGAGAUUCCGUGACUGUGGUAAAUUGCCUGUGAUCAAAUGUCGUGGCUCAUAGUUGUGUUCCAAAUUUAUUGCAGAAGAACCUGGCUUAGGAGAGCCAAUGAUGGAGAAGGCACC